UACGGGGGGGGCAAGCGUUGUUCGGAAUUACUGGGCGUAAAGGGCUCGUAGGCGGCCAACUAAGUCAGACGUGAAAUCCCUCGGCUUAACCGGGGAACUGCGUCUGAUACUGGAUGGCUUGAGAUUGGGAGAGGGAUGCGGAAUUCCAGGUGUAGCGGUGGAAAUGCGCAGAUAUCAGGAGGAACACCAAUAGCGAAGGCAGCUCGCUGGGACGGUAUUGACGCUAAGGCGCGAAAGCGUGGGGAGCAACAGG
rnacentral:rRNA from 1 species